rnacentral:sRNA from 1 species
CUUGGAAGCCAGCCCGGGCCCGGACCCAGACUUUGCUGCACCAUGGAUGCACUUCCUGCUGCCUGCCCCAUCCUUGCCCCAUCCUUGCCCACUCGCCUCCUCCCUGCAGUGGAUGGGGGUGAGGGACCAGGCCUGGGAUGGCAUGGGCCUACCCCUCAAGGUAUCCUCCGGGCUCAGGCCCAAUGCCACUGUCCCUCCCCCACCAGACAGGGAUGUGCAUCGCUUGGUGUUCCCUGCCGUGGGGCCUCAGCACGCCGGUGUCUACAAGAGCGUCAUUGCCAACAAGCUGGGCAAAGCUGCCUGCUAUGCCCACCUGUAUGUCACAGGUGAGGCAGGCACCCUCGUGGUCAGCUGCACACACAGCCUGGCCUCUGGCACUACGUGGGGGCUCAGGGAAAGGGGCCUCCACCCAGCUCCCUUCCCCUCCAUCCCCUGGGGACCCUCUUGCCUUACCCCUGCCCCUGCGGCUGAGCCCCCAGGCCCUAGCCUCCUGCACUGAGGCUCGGUGAUCCUGUGGGGCUGUUGGGCCCUUGGACCCAGCAGACAUUCGACCUGUGGCUUUCAGAUGUGGUCCCAGGCCCUCCAGAUGGCGCCCCGCAGGUGGUGGCUGUAACGGGGAGGAUGGUCACACUCACAUGGAACCCCCCCAGGAGUCUGGACAUGGCCAUCGACCCGGACUCCCUGACGUACACAGUGCAGCACCAGGUGCUGGGCUCGGACCAGUGGACGGCACUGGUCACAGGCCUGCGGGAGCCAGGGUGGGCAGCCACAGGGCUGCGUAAGGGGGUCCAGCACAUCUUCCGGGUCCUCAGCACCACUGUCAAGAGCAGCAGCAAGCCCUCACCCCCUUCUGAGCCUGUGCAGCUGCUGGAGCACGGUGAGCCUGGGUGCUCCUGUCGGGUGGGGGUGGGAGCUGCUGGGAUGGGGAAUGGGGCCCUGUGGUGGAGGCUCAAGGGCUGGCCUGGACAUGGUAACUGGCAGGAGCAGCCUGGCCGGGUGGGACCUUGGCCCAUCUGUACACUUCCUUCUCCCUCCUGAAAGCAGCAGGGCACGGUGGCUGAAGCUCAGGCUUUGGAAUCGGGCCUGCUGGGGUCCAACCCCACAACCCCAGCUUUGCCGCUCCCUGGCUGUGUUCCCCAGACAAAUCGCUAAACCUCUCUGAGCUUCAGCUUUCCCAUCUGUAAAAACGGAACUCAAGUGUUGAUGAGGGGUGUUAGAGGAGUGGUGGGUGCUGAGGACCUGGUGUCAAGCCCAGCACAGAGCUGCGCUCUCCUCCUCCCAGGCCCACCCCUGGAGGAGGCCCCUGCCAUGCUGGACAAACCAGACAUCGUGUAUGUGGUGGAGGGACAGCCUGCCAGCAUCACCGUCACAUUCAACCAUGUGGAGGCCCAGGUCGUCUGGAGGAGGUGGGCCCCUUUCCCACAUGUGGCAGCCCAGGUCUGGCCCAGCCUGGCCGGAAUGCCCUGGGGCAAGAUCUGGGUGACCUCCCUGUCAUGUGUCCCCUAGCUGCCGAGGGGCCCUCCUAGAGGCACGGGCCGGUGUGUACGAGCUGAGCCAGCCAGAUGAUGACCAGUACUGUCUUCGGAUCUGCCAGGUGAGCCGCCGGGACAUGGGGGCCCUCACCUGCACCGCCCGAAACCGUCACGGCACACAGACCUGCUCGGUCACAUUGGAGCUGGCAGGUGGGUGACAGCGGGCCUUCUUCCUAGCCUCCCUCCAAGGCCCAAAGCUCUCUACUCACACCCCCAGGUACACAACCUGCCUGACACUGCUGCAGAUCCAAACCCAUGUCCUCUGGUCAGGCCUGUCCAUGUCAUGGCUAUACAAAUACCAUAUUAGUAAUAAUGACAACAAUCAUACUAACAAGAUUUAUUGGCCAGACGCGGUGGCUCACACCUGUAAUCUCAGCACUUUGGGAGGCCGACACAGGUGGAUUACCUGAGGUCAGGAGAUCAUGACCAGCCUCGCCAACAUGGUGAAACCCCGUCUCUACUAAAAAUACAAAAAUUAGCUGGGUGUGGUGGCAGGUGCCUGUAGUCCCAGCUACUUGGGAGGCUGAGGCAGGAGAAUCACUUGAAUCUGGGAGGCAGAGGUUGCAGUGAGCCGAGAUCGCUCCAUUGCACUCUAGCCUGGGCAACAAGAGCAAAACUCCGUCUC